CUGCCUCGUUAGCCUCAUGUCUGUCACCUGUGUUGCUCCCGCCCUGCUCGUCAUCCCUGGUAUAUAUGUGUGGUCUUUCUGUUCAGCCCUUAUCCGGUCGUUGUUUGUGUUACCUUCUGUGUGUGGAUUUCCCAGUGUUAAGUCUUGUUGCCUGUCUUCCUCGUCGUGUCUCUCUGUUUCCCUGCUCAUGUCAGAUUUUCACCUGUUUGGAUAACCCGUUUUUGGACUCUGUUGAUCAGCCACUCUGCUUGUAAGUGUGCUCGCCUGUAUUAAACCCCAUUCAACUGUACCUCCUCCGCCUUGCGUCCUGCGUUUGGGUCCUCCAACCUGCCUUACCACCACUUACCGUAACAGAAUGACAGGAACAUACAUGGACCCAGCGGACGCAAAAAUGGAAAGAGAGGUUCCUGGAUGUCUUGGCCGAAUCGCGGACCAUCAGGCAGUUUGUGUCAAGCCGCAAAUCCCGGCAAGCCGCUCUCACCAGGGCCCACCGGGAGGCGGCCGCAAAGCCAUGGUUGCGGCGUCGGUUGCCUAGGUACCCACACUGGCUACCCUGCAGCUAACCCACUGCCUGUUCCCCGGCCUGCUAGCGCUGCUAGCCCCCCAGCCUUUUCCUUGGCCUGCUAGCGCUGCUAGCCACAAGCCUGAUCUGUCGGUCUCCAGCUCGGCUAGCGCUGCUAGCUCCAGGCCGUCUGUUCCCCGGCCUACUAGCGCUCCAGCGGCUAGCCAUCCGCCUGGCCUGCCCGUCUCCCUGCCCGACCCCCCUAACAAGGACUCUGGGACUAUGACUCUCCAGGCCUUCUUUCCCAUGAAGGCCAGGGAGUCAGAGGCACUGGCAGAGGACAAAUGUAACGACAGCAGACACGCCUUCAUGCAGUUCACAUAAUAACGUCUGUAAUGUGAUGAACAAAGAUCCUACAGCUGAUUUCUGCAGCUGCUGCUUCAAAUCUAAAGGCUCAUCAGGAACCAGCCUGUCAAGUUUUAACAUCACAUUCAUAUUGUUCAGAUAAUCAGCUGCUGAGCUCUGAAACUUAAAUGUGACAACAGGAGAAACACAAACAGGAGGUGAUCAAUAUUUAAAUAAACAGAUAUUAAAAACUUCAGCAGACGUCA